CAUGCGUGACAUUAGCUAGUUGGUGAGGUAACGGCCCACCAAGGCUACGAUGUCUAGGGGUUCUGAGAGGAAGAUCCCCCACACUGGUACUGAGACACGGACCAGACUCCUACGGGAGGCAGCAGUGAGGAAUAUUGGUCAAUGGGCGAGAGCCUGAACCAGCCAUCCCGCGUGCAGGAAGAAUGCCCUAUGGGUUGUAAACUGCUUUUUCGCAUGAAGAACAUUCCGCUCGUGAGCGGAACUGACGGUAAUGCGUGAAUAAGCACCGGCUAACUCCGUGCCAGCAGCCGCGGUAAUACGGAGGGUGCAAGCGUUAUCCGGAUUUAUUGGGUUUAAAGGGUGCGUAGGCGGCAAUUUAAGUCAGUGGUGAAAUCCUGCAGCUCAACUGUAGAACAGCCAUUGAAACUGAAUUACUUGAGUAAUCUUGAGGUAGGCGGAAUGUGUAGUGUAGCGGUGAAAUGCUUAGAUAUUACACAGAACACCGAUUGCGAAGGCAGCUUACUAAGGAUUUACUGACGCUGAUGCACGAAAGCGUGGGGAUCAAACAGGAUUAGAUACCCUGGUAGUCCACGCCGUAAACGAUGAUAACUCGCUGUUGGCGAUACACAGUCAGCGGCUUAGCGAAAGCG
rnacentral:rRNA from 1 species